rnacentral:rRNA from 1 species
UACGAAGGGGGCUAGCGUUGCUCGGAAUCACUGGGCGUAAAGCGCACGUAGGCGGAUUGCUAAGUCAGGGGUGAAAUCCUGGAGCUCAACUCCAGAACUGCCCUUGAUACUGGCGGUCUCGAGUCCGGGAGAGGUGAGUGGAACUGCGAGUGUAGAGGUGAAAUUCGUAGAUAUUCGCAAGAACACCAGUGGCGAAGGCGGCUCACUGGCCCGAUACUGACGCUGAGGUGCGAAAGCGUGGGGAGCAAACAGG